GACGAACCGAGCGACCGUUAUUCGGAAUCACUGGGCUUAAAGGGCGCGUAGGCGGGCGGCCAAGUCAGGGGUGAAAGCCCCCAGCUCAACUGGGGAAGUGCCUUUGAUACUGGUCAUCUCGAGGGAGAUAGGGGCGUGCGGAACUUCCGGUGGAGCGGUGAAAUGCGUAGAUAUCGGAAGGAACACCGGUGGCGAAAGCGGCGCGCUGGAUCUCUUCUGACGCUGAGGCGCGAAAGCCAGGGGAGCGAACGGG
rnacentral:rRNA from 1 species